CAACUAACUAAUCAGUUCUGUCCAUUAUAGUUCCUCCAGAAAAUUCUCCAGAAAUCACUGGUGGUUUCACAGAAUAUGGAGAGAACCUCACCAUCCGAUGCUCUUCUGUGAGAUCGAAACCUGCUGCCAACCUAACAUGGUAUAUCAACGACGUCAUGAUGAUUCCAGAAGGAGCCUACGAAUCACAAGAAGUCAUUCGUCAUCAGGACCAGUUAGAAACUUCUUCCUCUCAGCUUGAUAUACCUCUGGAAUCAAGUUCUUUGCCAGAUGGAAUACUGAGACUAGCUUGUGAAGCUUCUAUUUCCAACUUCGUGACCUCCAUAUCCAAGGAGUUGCUCAUAUCCAGAGAGCACAACGAUCAACCACCGCAAUCACACAUUGAUCCACAAGACAAUGGGACACAAAAUACGCAUUUCGAGUCUCUUUUAUAUAUUGGAUGUAUUGUGUGGCUAGGAUUGUUACGAAAAUUUUAACCAAGAACUCUUAUUUGUGAUAAGUGAUCGUUCAUUGUUUAAAUUUAUUUUCCAUCUGUUAAUUUUUUUAAAUUAUGUGUGUAAUUUGUCAUUUAGCCAUUGUUUAUAACAUAGAUUUUAAAUGUGGAAGUGUUAUAGCAUCAUUAUCACACUUAUUGUUUGUACGUAAUUAAUAAAAUUGACGUGCGUUCA